rnacentral:rRNA from 1 species
AUGUCUAUAAGCAUAGGUUCCAAAGGGACAUACUUCAACAUCUCUAACAAUCCCAAUUGGCGAAAUAGUAUCUCUAUUAGUAAGUUUAAUAGUAACAUCUAUGUCUUCUAUCUCUGCGGGUGCUAUGUCAUUCAUAAUUUCUUUAUAUAA